AUCGCUUUUUGGCCUCUUGGCUAAGAUCAAGUGUAGUAUCUGUUCUUAUCAGUUUGAUGUCUGAUACGUCCUCUAUCCGAGGACAAUAUAUUAGGUGGAUUUUGUAGCAGGGAGUUGGAAUAGGACCUUGCUCCGUCCACUCCGCGCAUCAACCUGGUAUUGCAGUACUUCCAGGAACAGUGCACACACA